rnacentral:rRNA from 1 species
UACGUAGGGUCCGAGCGUUGUCCGGAAUUAUUGGGCGUAAAGAGCUCGUAGGCGGCUUGUUGCGUCGACUGUGAAAACCCGCGGCUUAACCGCGGGCUUGCAGUUGAUACGGGCAGGCUAGAGUUCGGUAGGGGAGACUGGAAUUCCUGGUGUAGCGGUGAAAUGCGCAGAUAUCAGGAGGAACACCGGUGGCGAAGGCGGGUCUCUGGGCCGUAACUGACGCUGAGGAGCGAAAGCAUGGGGAGCGAACAGG